rnacentral:lncRNA from 1 species
AUGUAAUCAUGAUCAGAAGUUAUAUGUUUGUUCAUAUCCUGAACUGAAAGGUCAUUUUCAAGUUUUCGCUUAGUUUUUUUUGGAGGAGGACUGUCAUGUCUUUCACGUGGAGGGGGCCGAAAUUUUGUUACUUGUAUAGGUGUGUAACCCAAGUCAAUUGUUGGAAAUGGGUAACUUGGAGUAGGUUCACCAUCUACAAAGUGUUUGGAGCAAAUUCUAGAUUCAGAAUUAGGUUGCCAAUUAUUGUUUCCCUGUUUCCGAUUUACAAUUGCUGUCCAUUUUUUUCGACCAGCAGGAUCUUUUCUCUCAGUAGGAAAAGGUAUGAGUUGAAAUGGAGGCGAACAGUCACAUGAUCUAGUUCCCUUGUAACAAUUAUGUAUUUCACAUUGUUCUUGCAUCCAUUUUUCUAUUUUGUACCAACUGUUAGAGCAGGAUAUAACUGAACAACUCCUCCUUGAAACUUUAAACAUUUUCAACAAUUUAACCAAACAUUGUAAACAGAUAACCAAAACA